CGCGUAAAGCUGGUCGUGUAAGGGCAGUUUAAAUCUGAAACAGUUGUAACUUUUCUAAAACUGCCAUUAUUCAUUGACGAUCUUUCAUGUAUUGCAAGCUUCUGAUGUAAAGGUUUUGAAAAUAUCACGUGACGCUUUGCCCCUUUACUCAGUCCUGCAGCCAUAUGUUUACUAGUUUCGCGGUUGCCAUGACUUCCGGGGAGGAGAAAGAUUGUGACCCUUAUUUCCAGGAUGGAGCCCACCCUUACUGGGUGCCUUUGGAGGGAUCUGAUUGACUCCUGGCUUCCCUCCUGUUGGAUUCCUCCGCUUCUGAUCCCCAGUCUCCUCUUAGUUGUUUUGAAGGGCAUCCCCUUGAAAGUCUAAGUGUGGUGGAGAUUCCCUAGGAUGAGGCUCAGAAAGCACUGCCAUGACCAAGGCCCAUUCUAACACAUGGGAAGGACAUCAGUGAUAUGCAUAAGGCAUUUACCUACCUCCAGCUCCAAGGCAUUCAUAAUAUAAGCAUAUUACUUGCUUCAAAAAUACUUCAUCAAAGUGACAUGAACCAUGUAACCCUUAUGUAACCCUUAAGUGUCUCCUCUCGUCCAACCACUGAUCAAAGCAGACUAACAUCAGAUCCCCUUAGUUACUCCACCUUGGAAAUUAGGUGCCACCUCCUAAUUUGUUCACUGGAACCGGAAAGUAGUUACCUUCAAACUACCCAGUCAAAUUCCAACUUCAUUUAUUGGAGUGAUUCUGAUCCUGGGAAAUUAGAGUACUAUGUCUAGUUAGAGGGUUCUUAACCAUAUAAGGACCAGCCCAGAUCAGUGAAAUGAGUGCCCAAUUUCCUCAUUACCUGGAUGCCCCUGCAACCACUUUGCAGGAUCCUUUCCUUUCUUUUCAGUAAUUUCCCACCUUGGACUGCACAGACUCCCCUCAAUUCACAGCCUCUCACACCUUGGAUCAGUUUCCAUCCUUGAAUCCAUGAAGGAAGGAUACAUUGAAGGCUACAAGUUACCACAAUAAUCAGCACAACUGAAGAAGUACUCCCUACUAGCAUGGUGGCAGAAAAAGAACUGAGGGAUUAAUCGCUUUGGCGGGAAGUGAUUGUACAAGUGAGAGGGGUGGGUGAAGCACUCCAUCUACUGAAGAUUCUAGAAGAAGCUUGGAAGAUUCCUAUCUUCCUGGCUGGCCUGUGGCUGCGCAAUCCCUUCUGGGACUGCACAGAAUCCAUGAAGAUGAACAGGAUUGCUUGGUCCCAGGGUUGGUGCCUUUCAGCUUGUGUACUCUAAGGAUGUAGACAGGAUUCUUGGAAUGUUGAAACCCAACACCUGUUUGUAUGACACUUGCCCCUCCUGGUUGCUUAAAUCUGCUGGAGUGAAGCUGGAGGACUGGGUCUGGGAGACAGUAAAAGCCUCCUGAGUUAGGAGGUGGUAACUCCUGCCUUGAAGUGGACAGUGGUGUGUCCACUCCUAAAGAAACCUAUUCUGGACCCAGGAGAGUUGAAUAAUUACUGUCCAGUUUCCAGUGUACCAUUUUUGAAAAAGAUGACUGAAAAGAGUGACCAACUUCAGAAAUUCUUGAAUUAAGCAGAUUGUUUUGAUCCACUUCAAUCUGCUUUCAGGUCAGAUUAUGUGAUGGAAAUGGCCUGGUGCACCAGGUGAUGUACCGGAGAGCUUGAUCCUGUUAAUUCACCUGGAUCUCUUGGGAGCUUGUGAUAUAAUUAAUCAUAGUAUACUUUUGGAUUACCUUUCAGGACUAGGAUUGGGAGGUAUUAUUCUGCAGUAGUUCUGGUCCUACCUCAUGGAUGAGUUUCAGUCUGUUCUAGCCCCUAGCCUGUGUAGUUUCCCAAGGUUUCAUGUCAUCCCUCUUAGUUUUCAAUAUCCACCUGAAGCCACUGGGAGAGGCCACCUGGAUAUCUGAGCUAAGCCACCAAUAUUCAGGUGCCACUUAGCUCUUCCUCAUGCUACUAUCAGAUUGGAGAGAAGCUGUGGAAACUGAGCACAUCGUUGGAAACAGUUUUGGAAUGGAUGAGGGUUAACAAGCUGAAAUAUAAUACCAACAAAAUGGAGGUGCUAUUGGUGGAGGGAUGAUCUGGUUUAGGUAACAAGCAAUUCCCUGUUCUGGAUAGGCUUGUACUUCUCCCACAGGAGCAGGCUUGUAGCCUUGAGUGCUUUUUUUUUUAUAAACAGGUGGCAACAAUGCCAAGGGGUGCCUUUCAUCAGUUUUGACUGUUGAGUCAGCUGCAGCCCUGUGUAGAAAGGACUGGUGAAUCACUGUGGUACAUGCCUUAAUAACUUCUGGAUUAGAUUAUGGAGAGAGGGAAAAAUACCAACCAAGAAAGACUGGAUGCAGAAGAUCACAGAAUAUUCAAAAAUAGCAAAAUUAACAACCUUAUUAAAGGACAGUAAUACAGAGAAGUUUGUAGAAAACUGGAAACUUUUAUGGACUAUUUACUGAAAAAUAUGAAGAGAAAUAAUUGCAGGAUUUGAGAUUUAAAAGAAAACAGCAGGCUGAAAUAGAAUAUUAGAAAUGAUAAAAUGUGUAACUGACACACUUUCAUUUUAAUUAGAUGCAUGAAGCUAGAAUGGAUUAGAAUUUAAUAAUGAGGUAGCGGGAAGUCAUUAUCUGGCUAUUUUCUUUUUUUGUAUUUCAUGUUUUUGUUUUGUAUUGAUGUGGUGGUGGUGUGAAAGUGUAUGUGUUUAUUCUUUUUUGUAUUCCUGUGUAUGUUGAGAAAAUAAAAAAAAAUCACCCCCUGGA